rnacentral:tRNA from 1 species
CGCCCGGUGGCCGAGUGGUGAGGCGGCGGCCUGCAGAGCCGUCCACGCGGGUUCGAUCCCCGGCCGGGGGUC